ensembl:lncRNA
CCUUAUCACUGACUGACCAUUUGUUUUGGUGUCUCCAUCAUCUCUCUAUGGGUACAGGGUUUAAAGAUGCCCCCGGGCUUUUCGUUGGAUGAGAUACCAGAGAUGAUAGUUCCUCCGGACGUCUUGGUCCAGCACCUGUCCAGUGGAGAACUUCUAAGCCCCAAGCUCUUAGAAAAAAGGGUUCCAAAAGGGUUCACUGGCUGUCCCCAUAGGAUAACCCUUUUUGGUUCCAGGUAGAACCGUUUUGGGUUCCAUGUAGAACCAUUUGUGGAAAGGCUUCUAAAUGGAACCCAAAAGGGUUCUACCUGGAACCAUAAAAUAUUCAAAGGGUUCUCCUAUGGGGCAGCAGAAGAACCCUUUUAGGGUUCUAGAUAGCACCUUUUUUUCUAAGAGUGUACCUGCGGGCCUAACACACCCUUUGCCACAUCCUCAUGGACUCUGGACACGUGUUUGGAAGCGGUUUAGUGUUUGGCCCAAAGGUCAAAGAGCGUACUUGGCCUCCACCUGUGCACCUUAGAUGUGAAUUCUGACUUCUGAUGUCAUACAAAUUGACAUUUUCAUGUGUUUCCUACUCAAUAUGUUUUCAGGGUUCAUGCCUGGUUAUUUGUAUGUGUUAUUGAGAACUGCCAUUAAUCUGGACUGUGUGGAACAUUAAACUCAAAAUGAUUUUCCUUGCUCCUAAAACUAUAGCUUUAAAAUACACAGGGACUGCGGGAUUGGUUUUGUUGUAUAUUGCAAAUAUUUAAUAAAUAUUUUACUCAAUGUGAACUGUCAUUGGAUGCAUUUUCUUUCCUGUUAACAUACUGCCACACACACCAUACUCACAAGGCAUGAUUAAAUACACACCAAACCCAAAUCAUACAAAAAAAUGUUUUUAAUAGUUAACAUUCUGACGAGGAUUGUUUCCAAUCUUACAGUACCUGUCCACAGCAAGUGUUCUGCUCUGACUGGGAGAGGGUAUGUCUUAUUUCAGUGUCCCCAAUGUUACCGCAGUUGACAUGUUACAUUAGGGCCUUUUUAUAUCUAAAAACAAUGUCAUCAAAUCUUCCCUUUUAUUUUGUCCCCCUUGUAUAAAUGUAUUAUUUGAACAUAACUAUGCAAACACAUUCAUGAAGAUGUACUUGCUUACCAAACAAUAGCUGCAUGCACCACUGUGUCACCAUUUGCAAAUGUUCAUACAGGCAAACCAGGUGUGUUAUAUCUCACACUUUUUCAGUCUUGCCUGAUUGGCCAAUAAAAAAGGUGUAUCUUUGUUUUGCCUAAUAUAAAUCAGGAGGAUUUGUUCAUCUGAUGGAUAAUUGGAUUGAUUUAUGCCGAUAUAAAGGUUAUCCUCAGAGAAUAACAUUCCAUGUUUACAGACGAAAAUAAAUACAAGUCAUCCAUUCAGUGUCAUUCUGUCUUGACUCAUUAGGCAAAAAAGCUAAAAGUUAGAUGCUAUAUUGUCUCCAAGUUGCAUAAAGUAAUUCAGUUUGGCAAUUAUUAAGUCAUGCUUAGAUGUAGAGUAGCCUCCAUCAUAUUUAUUUGACUCUGCUGAGUGAAUAGUUGAUUGACAGGAUGGAAGUAGGAGCAAAAUGCAAUACAAGAAUUGUGGACUGAUAAACUGAUCAUAGGGCAAAACGGAAUAAUUCUACCUGCAUUGCAAGGCUCUUUUUCUUUUCACAUAUAAAAAUAAAUAUGACAAGCACAGGUAAAUAGGACCAAGAUAAGACAAAUUUCACAAGCAUGAUGAAAAAUCAUGCUGCUGAUUUUCACACAUAGAACAAUGUCUAGUCAUAAUCCCCAAGCCUGUUCACAUCACGGCCAAACACCUGUCCACCCUGUUAAAACUACAUCCACAACACAGAGAAUUCCCCCUUAAAGCAACCUGAGGCAAACAGUUCAAAUAGUCACUAGUACAUUCCUCCUAUUCAUUGAAAAAACAUGUUUUUAUCUUACAGUAACUCAAAAGGCAUGUUUAAAAAAACUAACAGUGGAAAUAUUCUGUGGAAUCUCUCUCACCAACUACUGCCCUUGAUAGACAGAUUUCCGAUGUUAAUAAAGUUGUGUUUUCAAUCAAUAUGUACAAACCAUUACUCAUGAACAGAACAGCACAUUAUCACCACCGACAAACGUCCAGAUAGACACAGAACUGGCCAUUCACUUCAGCACAUCCAAAUUGUAAGAACAGCUUUCAAUAAUGUAAAUGCAAUUUUGUCUAUAUUAUAUAUUUUUUGAAUUCCUCAAAAUAAUAUGGCAUGAUUAGCAUUUGUUGCAUCACUACAGGCAGAAUUAAGACAAAAGCAAAAAAACAUCAGUAUAAACAGUAAAAAACAUGGGACCCUCUUAAUCUUUGAGGUUUCUCUGUUCAUAAAUACUGUAAUUGCACUUUGUUUUAUCGUUUAGAAAUUCAAACUUUUUGUUCCUGAACUGUCUAGUAAGCAUUGGGUGAACUGUAUUACUUUCAGAGGAUAUUAGUAUUCUCCACUGGGGAAUAUACUCUGUACUGUAAGGUUGGAAUAACUAGGAAACUAUGUUGACUCAACUAGUUUUUGCCUCGAGGGAUGGUGGUCCUCGUUUUACUUACCAAUUGACAAUCAUGAAAACAUCCCUUAUAAUAGCUCUACUGGUCAGGCUUAUGGACUAGUGGAGACUUGCUGCACACUGUGAUGCAGCACUUUCCGUUUAGACAUACUGUAUCAUUAAGCUCUAGGCUGAUGACUCGCACUUUUAAUCUAACAUUCCUCUAAAAUAGAUUUAACCUUGAAACUAUGUCACUGCUAUUACAAUUACUGUACUGUAUAAAGCUUGUGAGUAUUUGAUCCCCUGCUGAUUUUGUACGUUUGCCCACUGACAAAGAAAUUAUCCGUCUAUAAUUUUUAAUGGUAGGUUUAUUUGAACAGUGAGAGACAGAAUAACAACAAAAAAAUCCAGAAAGACGCAUGUCAAAAAUGUUAUAAAUUGAUUUGCAUUUUAAUGAGGGAAAUAGACUCUGUAAGUCUUCACAAGGUUUUCACACACUGUUGCUG